UCCCCUUUAUUGCCCAAGUUAGUUCAGUUUGGGUUUCUGUCACUUGUAAAGAAGACAGAUUCCCUAAAAGGACAUUCCAGUGGAAGCCUAGGGAGUGUGAAGAGUACUGUGAGGAUAGGACCUGCACCAGCUCUGCACUCUAUACAAGACUCAGAAUGCAAAUAGUGCCUGCCCUCCUCGUAAGCAACAAGGAGUUAAUGGUCUCUGUAGAAGAGAGAACAUCUGAGGAAGGACCAGGUUGACCUGGACAAGAUCUUGUUCCUGCAGGUAGAGGAGUUUCAAUCCAGCCCAAGACCAUCCAAACUCCAGCGGAAACCCUGUCUAUUUAUGGGACAAUGAGCGGACCAUCACACCACCUUCAGGACAAUGAGCUGCUGUGUGGAGUUACCGGCUGAAAGUAACAAGAAAAUUACUGAAGUGAUAUUCUUGUGCACAGUCGUCUUCUAUACCAUAGACCUAGAAUAACUUUAUCACUCAAAACUGAGGAAGAUGCAAUUGGGGAAAAUAUUCCAUGAGGGCACUUUGAUUUUUCUUUACAACACACUACCAAAUUACGUGACGGGCCCAUCGCGCAGGAAGCUUCUCACAGGCUGUGGAGAGCAGCCUGUCUGCUUUGAGAAGUGCAGAUCUAUCAGGAU